rnacentral:rRNA from 1 species
UACGUAGGGGGCAAGCGUUGUCCGGAUUUAUUGGGCGUAAAGAGCUCGUAGGCGGCUUGGCAAGUCGGGUGUGAAAACUCCAGGCUCAACCUGGAGAUGCCACUCGAGACUGCUAUGGCUAGAGUCCGGUAGGGGACCACGGAAUUCCUGGUGUAGCGGUGAAAUGCGCAGAUAUCAGGAGGAACACCGGUGGCGAAGGCGGUGGUCUGGGCCGGCACUGACGCUGAGGAGCGAAAGCGUGGGAGCAAACAGG